UCCCUGGCGGUCCAACGGCUAAGACUCUGCAAUCCCAAUGCAGGGGGUCCAGGUUCAAUCCCUGGUCGGGGAA
rnacentral:tRNA from 1 species